UACGGAGGGUGCGAGCGUUGUUCGGAAUUACUGGGCGUAAAGGGCGUGUAGGCGGCUAGAUAAGUCAGGUGUGAAAUCCCACGGCUUAACCGUGGAAGUGCAUUUGAAACUGUCUAGCUUGAGUAUGGGAGAGGAAAGUGGAAUUCCCGGUGUAGAGGUGAAAUUCGUAGAUAUCGGGAGGAACACCGGCGGCGAAGGCGACUUUCUGGACCAAUACUGACGCUAAGGCG
rnacentral:rRNA from 1 species